rnacentral:rRNA from 1 species
CCUACGGGAGGCAGCAGUAGGGAAUCUUCCACAAUGGGCGAAAGCCUGAUGGAGCAACGCCGCGUGGGUGAAGAAGGUCUUCGGAUCGUAAAACCCUGUUGUUAGAGAAGAAAGUGCGUGAGAGUAACUGUUCACGUUUCGACGGUAUCUAACCAGAAAGCCACGGCUAACUACGUGACAGCAGCCGCGGUAAUACGUAGGGGGCAAGCGUUAUCCGGAUUUAUUGGGCGUAAAGGGAACGCAGGCGGUCUUUUAAGUCUGAUGUGAAAGCCUUCGGCUUAACCGGAGUAGUGCAUUGGAAACUGGGAGACUUGAGUGCAGAAGAGGAGAGUGGAACUCCAUGUGUAGCGGUGAAAUGCGUAGAUAUAUGGAAGAACACCAGUGGCGAAAGCGGCUCUCUGGUCUGUAACUGACGCUGAGGUUCGAAAGCGUGGGUAGCAAACAGGAUUAGAUACCCGAGUAGUC